UACGUAGGGGGCUAGCGUUGUCCGGAUUUAUUGGGCGUAAAGAGCGCGUAGGCGGCCUGGCAGGUCUGCUGUGAAAACUCGAGGCUCAACCUCGAGAUGUCGGCGGAAACCAUCUGGCUAGAGUCCGGAAGAGGAGAGUGGAAUUCCUGGUGUAGCGGUGAAAUGCGCAGAUAUCAGGAAGAACACCUAUGGCGAAGGCAGCUCUCUGGGACGGUACUGACGCUGAGACGCGAAAGCUAGGGGAGCAAACAGG
rnacentral:rRNA from 1 species